AUAUCAAUAAGCGGAGGAAAAGAAACCAACAGGGAUUGCCUCAGUAACGGCGAGUGAAGCGGCAACAGCUCAAAUUUGAAAUCUGGCUCUUUCAGGGUCCGGGUUGUAAUUUGUAGAAGAUGCUUCGGGUGUGGCUCCGGUCUAAGUUCCUUGGAACAGGACGUCAUAGAGGGUGAGAAUCCCGUAUGUGACUGGCUGCCUUCGCCCAUGUGAAGCUCUUUCGACGAGUCGAGUUGUUUGGGAAUGCAGCUCAAAAUGGGUGGUAAAUUUCAUCUAAAGCUAAAUAUUGGCCAGAGACCGAUAGCGCACAAGUAGAGUGAUCGAAAGAUGAAAAGCACUUUGGAAAGAGAGUUAAACAGUACGUGAAAUUGUUGAAAGGGAAGCGCUUGCAACCAGACUUGAGCGCGGCGGUUCCCCUAGCCUUUUGGCUAGGCUAUUCCGUCGUGACCAGGCCAACAUCGGUUCUGAGGGUCGGUUAAAGGCCCCGGGAAUGUAUCUACCCACGGGUAGACUUAUAGACCGGGGUGUCAUGCGGCCUCUCGGGACCGAGGAACGCGCUUCGGCUCGGAUGUUGGCGUAAUGGUUGUCAGCGA
rnacentral:rRNA from 1 species